UACGGAGGGUGCAAGCGUUAUCCGGAUUCACUGGGUUUAAAGGGUGCGUAGGUGGGUCUGUAAGUCCGUGGUGAAAUCUCCAAGCUUAACUUGGAAACUGCCAUGGAUACUAUAGGUCUUGAAUACCGUGGAGGUGAGCGGAAUAUGUCAUGUAGCGGUGAAAUGCUUAGAUAUGACAUAGAACACCAAUUGCGAAGGCAGCUCACUACACAGUCAUUGACGCUGAGGCACGAAAGCGUGGGGAUCAAACAGG
rnacentral:rRNA from 1 species